UCAGUGGGAAGAAUAAUCUCAUAUAGCAAAUAAGCUUUAAAGCAUAUAGUGUGAAAAUAUAGUUUCUAUCCUAGUUACUCAAAGUGUGAUGGAGACAGAAAGCAUCUACAUCCCCUGGGAGGUUGACAGACAGGCAGAAUCCCUGGCCCCCCGCCAGACCCACUGAAUCUGAAUCUGCAUUUUAACAAGACAGGUGAUAAUGCACUCACAUUAAAGUUUGAGGAGGAUGGUCUACUCCGUGUGCGUGUGUGCACUUGCACACACACGAGCAUUCUAGAACCCAGGAUCUAACCAGGUUUACUCAUUAUUUCUUAAUAAUAAAUACCUCUAAGUGUCUUCUGUGAGGGAAUAGCUCAUUAUCCCCUUCAGGAAAUUACAAAAUAUAGUUCAAAGGGGGAAUCAUGUCUAAGACUCCAAGAGGGAAGUGAUUAUACAUGAUCCUUAUUCUGAUGUUGGAAUUUAGUCAUUCAAAAAAUUACCUUUUUUUUUCUGUAGUCAUAAAAUUCUGUGUUGGAAAUUAAGCCCAGAUGUGAUUACACACAAGUAAUAGGGUUUGCUUAACCCUAACUAUUAUAGUAAAGAUUGUAAAGAAGAGAAAGGAUGAUCUGAGAUCAGCAGCCUCCCUCAAGGUUAUGGUUCUCAAAUCCUGAAGACCACGUUGCGCUAAUCCUGCUGAGUCAAAAUCUUCACUCAUCAGGGAAGAUGGCUCAUUCCCAGCAGACAGAAGGGGAGAGCUUCAGGAGAUAAAUAUUAAAUCAACCCUACAAACACGUGCUGCUUAUUCAAGCUGAUGUCUGUUCCUCUGUCUCACAUUCACACAGUGUAUGAACAGUGGCACCAAUCCCAGGACACUAAAGGCAUUGAUCAUACCGAGCCAUCAAUCUCUUGCACUUUAUUCCCAAUCAUUGUACAAACAUUGUUGUACUUCUGCUUCACGGAUUCUCAAAUACAUAUUUGAUGACACUA